rnacentral:rRNA from 1 species
UCGGUUGAUCCUGCCGGACCUGACUGCUAUCGGAUUGAUACUAAGCCAUGCGAGUCAUUGUAGCAAUACAAGGCAGACGGCUCAGUAACGCGUAGUCAACCUAACCUAUGGACGAGAAUAACCUCGGGAAACUGAGAAUAAUGCUCGAUAGAACACUAUACCUGGAAUGGUUUGUGUUCCAAAUGAUUUAUCGCCGUAGGAUGGGACUGCGGCCUAUCAGUUUGUUGGUGAGGUAAUGGCCCACCAAGACUAUUACAGGUACGGGCUCUGAGAGGAGUAGCCCGGAGAUGGGUACUGAGACACGGACCCAGGCCCUAUGGGGCGCAGCAGGCGAGAAAACUUUGCAAUGUGCGAAAGCACGACAAGGUUAAUCCGAGUGGUUUCUGCUAAAGGAACCUUUUGUUAGUCAUAGAACCACUAAUGAAUAAGGGGUGGGCAAGUUCUGGUGUCAGCCGCCGCGGUAUACCGGCGCCUCAAGUGGUAGUCGCUUUUAUUGGGCCUAAAACGUCCGUAGCCGGUUUGGUACAUUCGUGGGUAAAUCAAGGCGCUCAACGUCUUGAAUUCUGCGAGCACGGCCAGACUUGGGACCGGGUGAGGUGUGGGGUACUCUCAGGGUAGGGGUAAAAUCCUGUCAUCCUGAGAGGACCACCUGUUGCGAAGGCGCCACACUAGAACGGAUCCGACGGUCAGGGACGAAGCCUAGGGGCACGAACCGGAUUAGAUACCCGGGUAGUCCUAGGUGUAAACGCUGUGGACUUGAUGUUGGGAGUGCUCCGAGCACCCUCAGUGUCGAAGCGAAGGUGAUAAGUCCACUGCCUGGGGAGUACGGUCGCAAGGCUGAAACUUAAAGGAAUUGGCGGGGGAGCACCGCAACCUGAGGAUUGUGCGGUUUAAUUGGAUCCAACGCCGGAAAACUCACCAUAGCCGACGGACAUAUGAAGGCCAGCGUAACGAGCUUGCCGGAUUGUUCGAGAGGUAGUGCAUGGCCGUCGUCAGUUCGUACCGCAAGGCGUUCUGUUAAGUCAGAUAACGAACGAGACCCUCAUCCCUAUUUGCUAAGGUCAGUCCGCUGAUCACAGGACUAUAGGGAGACCGCUGGCGCGAAGUCAGAGGAAGGCGAGGGCAACGGUAGGUCAGUAUGCUCCGAAUGCUAUGGGCUACACGCGCAAUACAAAGGACGGGACAAUGGGCUGCUGCUCCGAAAGGAACGAUGGCUAUCCCGAAACCCGUUCGUAGUUCGGAUUGAGGGCUGUAACUCGCCCUCAUGAAGCUGGAUUAGGUAGUAAUCGCGUCUCAAAAAGGCGCGGUGAAUAUGCCCCUGCUCCUUGCACACACCGCCCGUC